GUCCCUUUGGGUACAUUCGAUAAAAUUACAAUGAUAUAGAGAAGAUUAGCAUGGCGCCUGCGCAAGAAUGACAUGCACAAAUCAAAAAAUGGUUCAAUUUUUA